CGCCCGGUGCGCAGGCGAGGGAUACUUCCACUGUUAAUGGGGUGGUUGCCGGUUCGAGUCCGGCCGGGGCCUCC
rnacentral:tRNA from 1 species